CCCUUGGCCCGGAAACACUUUCUUGGGAAGAUGGCGGCAGUAUCGGUGUUUCAGGCACCCGUCGGAGGUUUUUCUUUCGAUAAUUGCCGCAGGAAUGCUGUCUUGGAAGCUGAUUUUGCAAAGAAGGGUUCAAACUUCCGAAAGCCCGGAAAACUGGCACUACCAUCGCGGGAGUAGUCUACAAGGAUGGCAUAGUUCUUGGAGCAGACACAAGAGCAACUGAAGGGAUGGUUGUUGCUGACAAAAAACUGUUCAAAAAUUCACUUCAUAUCUCCUAAUAUUAUUGCUGUGGUGCGGGGA